rnacentral:ncRNA from 1 species
CCCGGGGCGCGAGCCCGGGCGGAGCGGCCGUCGGUGCAGAUCUUGGUGGUAGUAGCAAAUAUUCAAAUGAGAACUUUGAAGGCCGAAGAGGAGAAAGGUUCACUGUGAACGGCACUUGCACAUGGGUAAGCCGAUCCUAAGGGACGGGGUAACCCCGGCAGAUAGCGCGAUCACGCGCAUCCCCCGAAAGGGAAUCGGGUUAAGAUUUCCCGAGCCGGGAUGUGGCGGUUG